UUUAAUAAAAAAAGUAUAUUUUUUUUUUUUUUAU
rnacentral:misc_RNA from 1 species